rnacentral:lncRNA from 1 species
AUGGACGUGUGUAAAAGACAGUCGUUGCCACUGAAGUUUCCAAUCUGGAGAAAGGGGCAGGAAAGAUGGCUGUCUUCAAAGAUAGUUAAAGACCUGAAUAGUUCUGAAGUUUUCCUUCCAGGCACUUGUUUAUGGUGCUUGCCACAAUCUCCUUUUCUCUUUAAAAAUGAUUCAGAGAACACAGAGCUCCUGAAGAAUGAAACAAAGGCAUGAAUAAUAAAGAGCCAAUUGGCA